rnacentral:rRNA from 1 species
UACGGGGGGGGUAAGCGUUGUUCGGAAUUACUGGGCGUAAAGGGCUCGUAGGCGGCCAACUAAGUCAGACGUGAAAUCCCUCAGCUUAACUGGGGAACUGCGUCUGAUACUGGAUGGCUUGGAUUUGGGAGAGGGAUGCGGAAUUCCAGGUGUAGCGGUGAAAUGCGCAGAUAUCGGGAGGAACACCAGUAGCGAAGGCGGCUCGCUGGGCCAUUCCUGACGCUGAGACGCGAAAGCUAGGGGAGCGAACAGG